GACGGCCUGCGGGUUGUAAACUUCUUUUCUCGAAGAAGAAUAAAUGACGGUAUUCGAGGAAUAAGCAUCGGCUAACUCUGUGCCAGCAGCCGCGGUAAGACAGAGGAUGCAAGUGUUAUUCGGAUUGAUUGGGCGUAAAGCGUCUGUAGGCGGUUUGGAAAGUCUUUUGUGAAAUUCUUCAGCUCAACUGGGGGUCCGCAAAAGAAACUUCUAGGCUUGAGGGAAGUAGAGGUACAGGGAAUUUCCGGUGGAGCGGUGAAAUGCGUAGAUAUCGGAAGGAACACCAAUAUGGCGAAGGCACUGUACUGGGCUUUACCUGACGCUAAGAGACGAAAGCUAAAGGAGUGAUUAGGAUUAGAUACCCUAGUAAUUUUAGCCGUAAACGAUGGAAACUCACUGCCGAGCCGGUAUUCGGAGCGGUGGUCAAGCUAACGCGUGAAGUUUCCCGCCUGGGGACUACGCAUGCAAAUGUGAAACUCAAAGGAAUUGACGGGGACCCGCACAAGCGGUGGAGUAUGUGGUUUAAUUCGAUGCAACGCGAAAAACCUUACCAAGGUUUGAAAUCAUUUCAAAACUCUUUGAAAGAAGAGCCUCCUUCGGGAUGGAAUGACAGGUGGUGCAUGGCUGUCGUCAGCUCGUGUUGUGAAAUGUCAAGUUAAGUCUUGUAACGAGCGCAACCCAUGUCUUUUGUUGCUGUUUACAGUGCUUAAAAGAGACUGCCGCUCUACAGCGGANGAAGGUGUGGAUGAUGUCAAGUCAACAUGCCCCUUAUAUCUUGGGCUACACACGUACUACAAUGGUAGGGACAAU
rnacentral:rRNA from 1 species